rnacentral:ncRNA from 2 species
CUCCGCUUGUCGGGGUGUUCCUAUGGAACUGAGAAAUACCCGUAGAACCUGAAACGGUUAGCACCGUCGGAGGGAACAAGGUUCACGCCGGU